rnacentral:lncRNA from 1 species
CUUCAGUUCCCAGGAGACCCUGCUUGACAGGCGUGGGAGGAAGCCAUCUGCUGUGGAGGCAGGGGUCGGACGCAUGACUUCCGGAGGUGUUGGGCAACCUCAGCUGGGGAGACCUUAGCCACCCUCAGGAAACAAAUGUUCAGUCCAAGCAAAGGCCCGGCCCAGAGUGGUCACUGGCUUAAUUCUUGUCCUUGCCCUGUAGUUCUGCUACUGCUGGCCUAUGAAGAUGAAGGUCAAUGAAGAAGCGUCAGGCCCCCACCUGCAGGCCAGGGCUAGUGCAGCAGUGCCGGGGCCGAGAAAAAGCCAGAACUUUGUUCUGUGCAUCUGCACCCGAACAUAAGUGCAUACGGCGAUGUAGAAUUGGUUUUAUUUUUAACAAAUGGGGCUCUACUGUAUAUGCAUGCACGUUUUACUUUUUAACCUUAACAGUAGACGUGUGGCAUCUUUCCUUUCUGCAUGUGUUGAUCCAUCUUAGUCUUUGGAACAGUCGCAAUGGAUCCCAUAGUAUGGGAUAGUUUAUUAAACCAGUCCCCUGCUGAUGGCCAUUUAGGUCGUGUACAAUUUGCCCCUCUUAUAUGCACUACAAUUUUACAUAUAUCAUUGUGCAUGUGUGAGUACUUCUGUAGGAUAACCCAGAAGAGGAAUGCUGGAUUAAAUAGUUAUAUUUUAUCUCAGUAUAACCCUGUCCCCCUAACUAGACUGUAAGCUCUGGGCGGAGAGUCAGCGUCCUGCAGCCCUGGGAGGGGAGAGGGCAGACAAGGAAGAGAUCAAGGAGGUGAAAGCUUCUUGUGGAAACCUUCUGACUUGCAGGUGGGAGGAUGUUUAUCUUCCACCAGGUUCUCCUGGGGAAAAACAUCUCCAACACCAGUUCUGGCCUUCUGAGGACACAGGGCACUGAAUCAAGACCCAUCUUUCUGGACCUCUGGAUCAGGCCCACAUUUGGCACAGUGCAGGGGAAUCCUGGCUUGGCUGAGCCAAAGCAGGAGCCGGCCUCCCUCCUCACGUGGAGCUGGGACAGGAUCACAAGCAGGAUGUUUGGGUGGCACCUCCACCCUUCCCUCUGUGUGGCCCCUGGGACCUGCAUUGCCUCCAGCCUGGGGCCCUCUCCCUCCCCUGUUUGCCUGCUAGAGCCCAGGGUCUCAGCUCCCUUCACCAGGGCUGCACACCUCCAGAAAGCACACCUGGGCGUGGUAGGGCCCGCAGUCCAGAGAACUUUCGAAGUGCAAAGCCCACCGGCGGCACCUGGAAAGGGGCGGGUGGAGUGCAGGCCAGAAGCUGGGGAUUUUUCCUUAAUAACAACCUGGCGCCCUAAUUCAUUGGCGGCUCUGCCUGCCUGCAAGCUGGCUUGCACCCCCUCUCCCCUCCUGGAGAAGCCUUCAUCUUCAAAGCUUUUUGGGAAACAGUUAAUUAACCCCCACAGCCCUACCACCUGCCCAGAAGGCUGCUGGUUCCCUCUUCUCCAUGGGGCGGGGAAAGGGGAGGGCCAGGGAAACUGAAGCCUGAAGAAAGAGUGUGUGGCUGGGACCUGAGAGAUCGCAGGAUCCCAGACAAGGAAGCUGCCUUCCCUUUCAAUCCCCCCCAGCCCCACCCCUCAAAGGGCUGGUGGGACCCCCAGAGGCCAAGCCACACAGCCAAAGUGCUAAGGGUUGAGGAGCUUAUCUUGCAACACAGUUUAUUUUGGGUCUGCAUGAGAUCAGGCUGCUGCAGCACAGAGUGAGAGCAGCGAACUCCCCCGUCUCCAGCCUCAGCCUUGCUAGGACAACAUCUCUAGUAUCCUCAUCGUUGCAUCCUGUUGAGAAGGAGGGGUGCUGAAAGUCACUGGGUGUUGCUGCUGGGCUGAGACAGGGCUGUGAGACAAGCAGUGCUCCAGUGUUCUAUGAUGCAGGCAGUCUGGGCUCUAGUCCCAGCACUGCCACUAAUGUGUUGUGUGGUCUUGGAUAAGUCACUUAACCUCUCUGGGCCUCUACUGCUGCAUCAGUAGGAUGGAGGAGGCAGGGGCUAGAUGAUCUGGGCCCUCCAAAUUCUACUAUGUAGGAGCUUCAUGGACUGGUGAAUUUUCAUCUGUUUCGUCCUGACUCCUCUGAAGGGACAAAAAGGGAGUCGGCUGGCUUAGCACUGCCUGGGUACUUGCUUUGUUCUUGGGACUGUGCUGAAAGUUUCAUAUUCAGUCUCUUGUUUCAGCUUCACAACAGCCCUGUGAGGGGGGAAUUAUGCCCAUUUUACAGAUGAGGACACUGAGGCACUGGGGAAUUGGCCAUUGAGGCUGGAGGUUGGAGAAGAGGCAUGGUCUCAGCCCCUGUACAUGUUCCCUCAGGGCAAUGCAUCCUGGAGAUUCCUGCAUGCCGUCUUCCCAGUCCCCAAGUUUAACACUCUGCUAGCAGCUUUUGUCUGGCUAAUCAG